rnacentral:RNase_P_RNA from 2 species
CGCGCAGACCGCCUUAUCGUCGCUCAAUUCGUUGAGGGGAGGAAAGUCCGGACACCACAGAGAAGCAUAGCGGGUAACACCCGUCGGUCCCGAUUUAUCGGGAUUAGGACAAGUGCAACAGAAAGUAUGUACAGGUAAUGCUGUAGUGAAACCAGGUAAACUCUAUGCGGUGAAAUACCAAGUAUAUCAGCAUUUAAGGGCUUCUCGUCCGUUGUUGAAGGGUAGGUAGCUUGAGUCAUGCAGCAAUGCAUGAUCUAGAUAAAUGAUAAGGCCCUGAUUUAUCAGGGACAGAAUCCGGCUUAUAGGUCUGCAUUUUUU